AUACUCUGGUUUCUCUUUAAAAGGAAUACAUCUUUUGCCUUGUGUUAAAGAUUUUUGUGGAGUGGAACAACCAUACGUUUUGGAGAAUUUUUUUUAUUCCUGGCUAAUGCCGGGCU